GGGCGUGGCAGCCUUGUAAACCCCUUCCUCAACAAGGACUUAACUCCACCCACCCCCGUCCCUAAACCCAGGUCCCGAAGUUCCCGCAGCAGCGGGCGACACUGCGACCUCCCCGGCUCCAAGCCCCAUCCCUCCGCCGUACGGACGCCCCUCUGCUCCGCUGCGGCCUCCUCACCUGAACCCGCUCUGCUGAAGGCGCGCCAGCAGCCUCCGCCCGCAGGCCCGAGUCCGACCCGGCCGAGGCCCCGCCGCCGGCCCAGGCCCCCACCCCCUCGACCCCCGCGGCCCGGCCCUCCCGGCGCCCUUUCCCCGCCCGCCCUGCCGCCGCCACUUCCGUCAUCCUCCGGAAGCGGCCCGGGCCGUCGCGGGGCCCACAUCCGGCCUGGGCCGCCCGCGCCCCGGCCCAACCCCGCUACUGCAGGAGCCCGGGAGACAGCUGCGGCACCGCAGGGUCUACACUGUUCCCACGACUGCAGACGAACUACGGGCCGGACCCGCUCUGGGUGUCAGGUCUUUUGUCCCAGAGAUGAGGAAAAUGGUGAAGACAUUGUCUUUACUAAUCUGAUAGAAAAGCCAAUUUGUCAACUCACCAAGAAGCAAGCCCUCCCUGUGAAUGUACAGACUACUGAGGGGACAGCCAGACGCCAGCCUCUUCAGGUGCACAGGCUGGGAAACAAGAAGAGCCAACCCCUCACUUCCCACCCCUGUAAGCGACCAGCUGAUCCAGAGAAACACAGGCUGCAAUGACAGCUAUUGAGGUGGAAUACAAUGUAAUGCUUGUAGCAUUUAGUGUGUCACUGACUUUGCGAGUCUAAAGCCAGUGGUCUGAUCAUCUGUCUAUUCAGAGGAUGGCAGUAUAUAGUAUAGCAUGUGGUAUAUUUUAAUUGGCUUUAUUCUGUUUUGUUUUGCUUGGUUUUAUUCUCUUUAAAAUAAAUUUUUUUAACUGAAAAAGAAAAGAAAAACCAAUUUCUCAUGUUGUUUUAUUUUAUUAGUAGCUUGUAAAGUCCAACCUGUUUUCAUACAUCGCUUGCAAAGUGCCUAUUCGUAUCUUUUGUCCAUUUGUACUUCAUUUUGUUCUUUUGGGAGAACUCUUUAUUUAUCAACCUUUUAUUUCUUAUGUUGCA
rnacentral:lncRNA from 1 species